rnacentral:lncRNA from 1 species
UUUGGUUCAUGAACUUGGAUAUGGUUCAUGGGUUUGGUGUAUGGAUUUGGUUCAUGAACUUGGAUAUGGUUCAUGGGUUUGGUGUAUGAAUUUGGUUCAUGGUUCAAGGAAUUUGGGUUUAGUUUAACGACUUUUCGGUCGUUUGGAUUUGGGUUUAGUUUAACGACUUUUCGGUCGUUUGGAUUCAGGUUUAGUUUAGCGACUUUUCGGUCGUUUGAAUUUGGGUUGUUUAGUUUAACGACUUUGCGGUCAUUUGAUUUGAUUGUUUAGUUUAACGACUUUACGGUCGUAGGUUUUAUUUGUGGACUUUGGGUUUUGGCAUUUUAUUUGUGGACUUUGGGUUUUGAAAUUUAUUUGUGGACUUUAGGUUUUGGGUUUAUUUGUGGACUUUGAUUUUGGGAUUUAUUUGUGGACUUUGGGUUUGGGUUGGCUUAAUCCUCUUGUAUUUGAUUUGGGAUGAAUCGCCUUAGGUUUUCAUUUGGUUUACCCCUUUCAGGUUUGGUUUGGG